rnacentral:rRNA from 1 species
UACCUGAAGAAUAAGCACCGGCUAACUACGUGCCAGCAGCCGCGGUAAUACGUAGGGUGCGAGCGUUAAUCGGAAUUAUUGGGCGUAAAGGGUGCGCAGGCGGUCUUGUAUGACUGGUGUGAAAUCCCCGGGCUUAACCUGGGAAUUGCAUUGGUAACUGCAAGGCUUGAGUGCGGUAGAGGGGGGUAGAAUUUUGCGUGUAGCAAUGAAAUGCGUAGAUAUGCAAAGGAAUACCGAUGGCGAAGGCAGCCCCCUGGACCUGCACUGACGCUCAUGCACGAAAGCGUGGGGAGCAAACAGGAUUAGAUACCCUGGUAGUCCACGCCCUAAACUUUGUCAACUAGUUGUUGGGGAGAUUAUAUCUUCAGUAACGAAGCUAACGCGUGAAGUUGACCGCCUGGGGAGUACGGCCGCAAGGUUAAAACU